AUCCAGCUGGCGAGUCCCAAAUAGGACGAAACGCGCAUCCUGGAU
rfam:Schistosoma mansoni, Puerto Rico, WGS project CABG01000000 data, contig: 0393